UCCUACGGGGGGCAGCAGUAGGGAAUCUUCCACGAUGGGCGAAGGCCUGAUGGAGCAACGCCGCGUGGGUGAAGAAGGUCUUCGGAUCGUAAAACCCUGUUGUUAGAGAAGAAAGUGCGUGAGAGUAACUGUUCACGUUUCGACGGUAUCUAACCAGAAAGCCACGGCUAACUACGUGCCAGCAGCCGCGGUAAUACGUAGGUGGCAAGCGUUAUCCGGAUUUAUUGGGUGUAAAGGGAACGCAGGCGGUCUUUUAAGUCUGAUGUGAAAGCCUUCGGCUUAACCGGAGUAGUGCAUUGGAAACU
rnacentral:rRNA from 1 species